CCAAUAGCGUAUAUUAAAGUUGUUGCAGUUAAAAAGCUCGUAGUUGAAUUUCGAGAUCAGUACGCUGGUCGUGCCCUCGGUAUGCACUGGUGUCACUGGUUUCUUCCUUCUGAAGAACCGUCAUGCCAUUCAGUUGGUGUGGCGGGGAAUCAGGACUGUUACUUUGAAAAAAUUAGAGUGUUUAAAGCAGGCUCGCGCUUGAAUACAUUAGCAUGGAAUAAAGAAAUAGGAAUUUUUACCCUAUUUUGUUGGUUUCUAGGAUCGACGUAAUGAUUAAUAGGGAUAGUUGGGGGCAUUAGUAUUCAAUUGUCAGAGGUGAAAUUCUUGGAUUUAUUGAAGACUAACUACUGCGAAAGCAUUUGCCAAGGAUGUUUUCAUUAAGCAAGAACGAAAGUUAGGGGAUCGAAGACGAUCAGAUACCGUCGUAGUCUUAACCAUAAACUAUGCCGACUAGGGAUCGGAUGAUGUUAAUUUUUUAAUGACUCAUUCGGCGCCUUACG
rnacentral:rRNA from 1 species